UUCAAAGAUGGAGGCACCGGUGAUAGAAACAUGUCAUGUUGCUUGUUGUGCUAACAGGACACCUAACGUGGUUUCAUGGAGCCGUGGUGGAAUUAUUGCGUAUGGGACGUGUAACUCAGUGGCUCUGUACGACCCUCAGGAGAGAAGUGUCAUUGCUGUGCUGAAUGGACACACGGGCAGAGUGAAUGCAGUUCAGUGGGUUCACAGCGAAGACUGUGCUCUUGAAAGUCAUCUUGUCUCCGGAGGCUCAGACAAUCAGCUCAUCCUUUGGGAGGUUCAGAAUGAGAAGUUCAGUCAGUCAGUGGUGUGUAAAGGCCACACCGGUCCAAUUAAUGCUGUGGAUGCCAUCUAUAUGGAGGGCUCAGAAAUCCUGGUGGCCUCUUCAGCAUCUGACUCCACAGUCAGACUGUGGCUCUGCAGUGGAAACAAAAAAGCUGAGUGCCUCCAUAUCACAUCAUUUGACAGUGGUUUCAUGAUGGAUGUCUCUCUGUCACUGUUGCCAGGCAGCAGAGUUCCCAUACUGGCCUGUGGGGGUGAUGACUCUCGGGUGCAUUUGUAUAUCCAGUCCAAUGGACAGCUCCAGAAAGCUUUGUCACUACAAGGGCAUGAGGACUGGAUUCGUGGAGUGGCAUGGGCAUCUAUAGGUGGGGAGCUGUUAUUAGCCAGCUGUUCACAGGAUUGUCUCAUCAGAGUGUGGAGGCUGUGUGCCAAGUCUGGGACAGACACCCACGCAGAGGACGAUCACACCAUCAUCAAAAUGAAAGAGGACGUUUUUGAAGUGAAGGAGAGAGACAUUUCCUCAGUGUUUGCGGUGUCUCUUGAGACAGUCCUGGCUGGUCAUGAGAACUGGGUCUAUGGAGUCCACUGGCAGCCUCCUUUCUACAAAGGUGACAAGUUGCAGCAGCCUCUCAGUCUGCUCUCUGCUUCCAUGGAUAAGACAAUGAUCCUCUGGGCUCCCGAAGAGGGAUCUGGAGUCUGGGUGGAGCAGGUGCGUGUAGGGGAGGUUGGUGGCAACACUCUGGGUUUCUACGGCUGCCAGAUGAGUCCAGAUGGUUCCAUGAUUCUGGCUCAUGCUUUUCAUGGUGCUCUACAUCUCUGGUCAAAGGACCAAGAGAAAGAGGGAGAUUGGAGGCCUGGGGUUGUUAUAUCAGGUCAUUUCAGUGCAGUGCAAGACCUCAGCUGGGACCCUGAGGGUGAAUUCAUCAUCAGUGUGGGCUCAGACCAGACAACCAGACUCUUCACUCCAUGGAGGAAACAAGACGUCAAAUUGGCAACCUGGCACGAAAUCUCACGGCCUCAGAUCCAUGGAUUUGACAUGCAGUGUCUUGCCAUGGUUGGAAGGUUUCAAUAUGUCUCUGGAGCAGAUGAGAAGGUCCUCAGAGUGUUUCAAGCGCCUCGUAAUUUUGUGGAGAACUUUGCUAAUAUCUCCGGGAUGUCGAGAGAGAAGUUGCUGACCUCCAGUGACUCUGCCAACCUUCCAGAAGGAGCCAGCACACCUGCUUUAGGUCUGUCCAACAAGGCUGUAUUUCAAGGUGACCUUGUUCCAAAAACCAAUAAAAAGGAGGAGCAGUUCAGCAGUGUAUCUGAUCAAUACCAGGAGUCUUACUUCCACCCACUUAACAUGACUGAGCCCCCACCAGAGGAUCAUCUUCUCCAGAACACCCUCUGGCCUGAGGUUCAGAAACUGUACGGCCACGGCUUUGAGAUGUUCUCUCUCGCGUCUGACAGCGCCAGGACUGUGGUGGCGUCCGCGUGCAAGGCAUCUAAAGCAGAGCAUGCGGCAGUGUUGCUGUGGAGUACGACUACGUGGCGCCAGCUACAGACGCUGCCCUGUCACACCCUCACCAUCACCCAGAUGGCCUUCUCACCCGACGCACAACUCUUGUUAGCCGUUUCCCGUGAUCGCACCUGGUCCUUGUGGAGAAGGAAUGUGCCCACACCUGAAAGUCCAGGGCCUCGUGUGCCUGAAGAGAAUGUUUAUAUGAGAGACUCUCUGCACCUUGACUCAGACAAAUAACCUGAUCCUGAAUCCAAGGUCAGUCUUAAUCGGCACUGACAGAGGCCAAGCAGUGCUGCUCUCUGCUGUUUGCCUGCAUGGUGAGCUUCACAGACGUAGGCUGCCGAAUCUCCUCUGGUGGCUGCUGAGUCAUUCAAGAUGUACUGUGGUCCAGUGGAACACAGCCCUCAUCCCUAACUGGACAAUCUGGUCCUGAAGCUGGCUUGACAGAAAAGGACAAGCAUGGUCUCAGAAUCCAGACUGAGGGAGGUUAAAUGAAGUCAGAUCCGAUCAAGCAAAGUGAUCCCGUGUAUCCUCAACUCUUCUCUGUCUCCUCCCUGUGUUGUCUCCAUCCAUCCUCCUCCAUCCAUCUUUCUCUUGCGGGUCGAGCCCCCCAGACAUCUCCAUUAAGGAGACACUGUUACCUCUCACCUCUCCCCAUUUUCUUUCUUCUUCUCUCUCAUGUGCUGCUCUUAUAUCUUCUUUGUGUAUUUUUGCAGAGGCAGAAUGACAUGGCACUGUGAAUUUUGUCGUGACACUGUGGUUUUAUGUGGACACGUGUGUCUGUCUACUGUGGGUAUUACUCAUUGUCAUCAGUUUACACAGUCGCAGUACAUACAGCUAUAAAUGAAUUCAUUCAUUCAUCUUCUACUGCUUUAUCGUCCACUUGAGGGCAGCUGGAGUUAAUCCCAGCUGACAUUAGUGAAAGGCGGGGUCACACUCUGGACAGGACACCAGGCCAUCACAGGGCCAACACACAGACGUACAAUUAUUCACCCUCACAUUCACACCUACAACCUGCAUGUUUUUGGACUGUGGGAGGAAACCGGAGAACUCUGGGUAAUUAGUGAAAGUGAAAAUAGAUCCCUCUGAAGACAUGGAGUGAUGUCUAUGUGUGCCAGUGUAGAGCAGCGCUGCUGUGGGGACAUGUAGACAGACGGCUGCCAGCAGCAUACGAACAACCUCUCUAGGGAAAAACUAUCUGGGGUCUGAAAUGACUUAGGUUGGGGAAAUAAACAGCAGCAGGUCAUAAACCAAAACUGACUGAAAUGGAGGUCUGGGAUGAGGUUCUCUGUCUUGUUGGGUUUGUUUAUUUGUUGCUUGGUAGGGAGCGCCUUUGUCGCCUCAGAGCACUGAGGCAGCGCUGCAGAGCUGCUGACGUCGCGCUGCAAUCAUCAUGGCAGUGUUUUGACUGUCGGCUCAUCUCAUGAGCCGCAGUUCUCGCUGCACACACACACGGGGAAGGACUCAGCCGUACACGGCCGAAUCAUCUGGUCAUGUGACUGGAGCCCUGACAGCAAGUACUUUGUGACAUCCAGUCGAGACAAGAAG